GAUGAAGAACGUAGUGAAAUGCGAUAAGUAAUGUGAAUUGCAGAAUUCAGUGAAUCAUCGAAUCUUUGAACGCACAUUGCGCCCGCUAGUAUUCUGGCGGGCAUGCCUGUCCGAGCGUCAUUUCAACCCCCAAGCCCCCGGGCUUGGUGUUGGGGAUCGGCGAGCCUCCGCGCCCGCCGUCCCCUAAAUCUAGUGGCGGUCUCGCUGUAGCUUCCUCUGCGUAGUAGCACACCUCGCACUGGGAAACAGCGCGGCCACGCCGUUAAACCCCCAACUUCUGAACGUUUGACCUCGGAUCAGGUAGGAAUACCCGCUGAACUUAAGCAUAUCAAUAAGCGGAGGA
rnacentral:misc_RNA from 1 species